CAGCAGCCACGGUAAUACGGAGGAUCCAAGCGUUAUCCGGAAUCAUUGGGUUUAAAGGGUCCGUAGGCGGUUUAGUAAGUCAGUGGUGAAAGCCCAUCGCUCAACGGUGGAACGGCCAUUGAUACUGCUGAACUUGAAUUAUUAGGAAGUAACUAGAAUAUGUAGUGUAGCGGUGAAAUGCUUAGAGAUUACAUGGAAUACCAAUUGCGAAGGCAGGUUACUACUAAUUGAUUGACGCUGAUGGACGAAAGCGUGGGGAGCGAACAGGAUUAGAUACCCGAGUAGUCCCUGUCUCUUAUAC
rnacentral:rRNA from 1 species